UACGUAGGGGGCUAGCGUUGUCCGGAAUCAUUGGGCGUAAAGAGCGUGUAGGCGGCUCGGUAAGUCUGCUGUGAAAGUCCAGGGCUCAACCCUGGGAUGCCGGUGGAUACUGUCGAGCUCGAGUCCGGAAGAGGCGAGUGGAAUUCCUGGUGUAGCGGUGAAAUGCGCAGAUAUCAGGAGGAACACCAAUGGCGAAGGCAGCUCGCUGGGACGUGACUGACGCUGAGACGCGAAAGCGUGGGGAGCAAACAGG
rnacentral:rRNA from 1 species